AGUAAGUAAGAAGGAAAGUAGUAACAAGUGUGCAUCAAAUUGAUCAAAGCUAGUAGUGCCUUACCAUAAUAUAAUGGCUAAGCUGUUUGGUGCUUCUCCCAUUUGCAUUGUUUCUUUUCUUUUGCUGUUGAUUGCUGUAUCCGUUUCUUCUGAAACCACCUAUACCGAAGGUCAGGCUUGCAAAAUUAAGGGUGGAGGUUGUGGAGUGGUAAAAAAGGAACAGCCUUUAAUUGCUCAUACUGUUCGAGAUUUUGCCUCGACAAUUGUGGGCUGAGUAAAUAUACGGAAAUGUAUCCCGCCUGCAACUUUAUUGACCGAGGCACCGAGGGCUACACAUUCGAAUGCUAUUGUUGUUGCAGUAACAAAAUGAAAUAGUGGCCGGGCUGAGGAGUAUAUGAAUGAUUUGAUUUCUAUUCCCGUAUGCACUUCCUACCGUUAGUCUGAUUGUGCGUUUGUUGCUAGCACUAAUUCAGAAUAGUCAUCCACAAAUCAUAAAUGUAAGGCAAGUUGCCAUCUACAAAUCACAAAUGUAAAACAGCUACUAGUUUUUUCUAAAAGUGCUUUUCUUUUA